rnacentral:rRNA from 1 species
GAUGAGUAGGGCGGGACACGUGGUAUCCUGUCUGAAUAUGGGGGGACCAUCCUCCAAGGCUAAAUACUCCUGACUGACCGAUAGUGAACCAGUACCGUGAGGGAAAGGCGAAAAGAACCCCGGCGAGGGGAGUGAAAAAGAACCUGAAACCGUGUACGUACAAGCAGUGGGAGCACAGAGCAAUCUGUGUGACUGCGUACCUUUUGUAUAAUGGGUCAGCGACUUAUAUUCUGUAGCAAGGUUAACCGAAUAGGGGAGCCGAAGGGAAACCGAGUCUUAACUGGGCGUUAAGUUGCAGGGUAUAGACCCGAAACCCGGUGAUCUAGCCAUGGGCAGGUUGAAGGUUGGGUAACACUAACUGGAGGACCGAACCGACUAAUGUUGAAAAAUUAGCGGAUGACUUGUGGCUGGGGGUGAAAGGCCAAUCAAACCGGGAGAUAGCUGGUUCUCCCCGAAAGCUAUUUAGGUAGCGCCUCGUGAAUUCAUCUCCGGGGGUAGAGCACUGUUUCGGCAAGGGGGUCAUCCCGACUUACCAACCCGAUGCAAACUGCGAAUACCGGAGAAUGUUAUCACGGGAGACACACGGCGGGUGCUAACGUCCGUCGUGAAGAGGGAAACAACCCAGACCGCCAGCUAAGGUCCCAAAGUCAUGGUUAAGUGGGAAACGAUGUGGGAAGGCCCAGACAGCCAGGAUGUUGGCUUAGAAGCAGCCAUCAUUUAAAGAAAGCGUAAUAGCUCACUGGUCGAGUCGGCCUGCGCGGAAGAUGUAACGGGGCUAAACCAUGCACCGAAGCUGCGGCAGCGACACUGUGUGUUGUUGGGUAGGGGAGCGUUCUGUAAGCCUGUGAAGGUGUGCUGUGAGGCAUGCUGGAGGUAUCAGAAGUGCGAAUGCUGACAUAAGUAACGAUAAAGCGGGUGAAAAGCCCGCUCGCCGGAAGACCAAGGGUUCCUGUCCAACGUUAAUCGGGGCAGGGUGAGUCGACCCCUAAGGCGAGGCCGAAAGGCGUAGUCGAUGGGAAACAGGUUAAUAUUCCUGUACUUGGUGUUACUGCGAAGGGGGGACGGAGAAGGCUAUGUUGGCCGGGCGACGGUUGUCCCGGUUUAAGCGUGUAGGCUGGUUUUCCAGGCAAAUCCGGAAAAUCAAGGCUGAGGCGUGAUGACGAGGCACUACGGUGCUGAAGCAACAAAUGCCCUGCUUCCAGGAAAAGCCUCUAAGCAUCAGGUAACAUCAAAUCGUACCCCAAACCGACACAGGUGGUCAGGUAGAGAAUACCAAGGCGCUUGAGAGAACUCGGGUGAAGGAACUAGGCAAAAUGGUGCCGUAACUUCGGGAGAAGGCACGCUGAUAUGUAGGUGAAGUCCCUCGCGGAUGGAGCUGAAAUCAGUCGAAGAUACCAGCUGGCUGCAACUGUUUAUUAAAAACACAGCACUGUGCAAACACGAAAGUGGACGUAUACGGUGUGACGCCUGCCCGGUGCCGGAAGGUUAAUUGAUGGGGUCAGCGCAAGCGAAGCUCUUGAUCGAAGCCCCGGUAAACGGCGGCCGUAACUAUAACGGUCCUAAGGUAGCGAAAUUCCUUGUCGGGUAAGUUCCGACCUGCACGAAUGGCGUAAUGAUGGCCAGGCUGUCUCCACCCGAGACUCAGUGAAAUUGAACUCGCUGUGAAGAUGCAGUGUACCCGCGGCAAGACGGAAAGACCCCGUGAACCUUUACUAUAGCUUGACACUGAACAUUGAGCCUUGAUGUGUAGGAUAGGUGGGAGGCUUUGAAGUGUGGACGCCAGUCUGCAUGGAGCCGACCUUGAAAUACCACCCUUUAAUGUUUGAUGUUCUAACGUGGACCCGUGAUCCGGGUUGCGGACAGUGUCUGGUGGGUAGUUUGACUGGGGCGGUCUCCUCCUAAAGAGUAACGGAGGAGCACGAAGGUUGGCUAAUCCUGGUCGGACAUCAGGAGGUUAGUGCAAUGGCAUAAGCCAGCUUGACUGCGAGCGUGACGGCGCGAGCAGGUGCGAAAGCAGGUCAUAGUGAUCCGGUGGUUCUGAAUGGAAGGGCCAUCGCUCAACGGAUAAAAGGUACUCCGGGGAUAACAGGCUGAUACCGCCCAAGAGUUCAUAUCGACGGCGGUGUUUGGCACCUCGAUGUCGGCUCAUCACAUCCUGGGGCUGAAGUAGGUCCCAAGGGUAUGGCUGUUCGCCAUUUAAAGUGGUACGCGAGCUGGGUUUAGAACGUCGUGAGACAGUUCGGUCCCUAUCUGCCGUGGGCGCUGGAGAACUGAGGGGGGCUGCUCCUAGUACGAGAGGACCGGAGUGGACGCAUCACUGGUGUUCGGGUUGUCAUGCCAAUGGCACUGCCCGGUAGCUAAAUGCGGAAGAGAUAAGUGCUGAAAGCAUCUAAGCACGAAACUUGCCCCGAGAUGAGUUCUCCCUGACCCUUUAAGGGUCCUGAAGGAACGUUGAAGACGACGACGUUGAUAGGCCGGGUGUGUAAGCGCAGCGAUGCGUUGAGCUAACCGGUACUAAUGAACCGUGAGGCUUAACCUUACAACGCCGAAGGUGUUU